UGGGAAAGCAACAAUCAACAAUUUCAGCGUCUAUCUAUCAAACAGGGCUGUCUAAUGAAGAGAACAAGUGCUGUGCGGUGCACAUUAGGAGAAGAUCAGUCCAGCAAUUCAUUCAGAAAAAGAAUACCCUUACUGCAAACGUAUGACACUACUCAAAGUCGUGGCGGCUUGGGAAGCAGAUUGGAAACAUUUAUGGAUUGCAUUUUGGUUCCUCGAGCUCUUUUGAUGCUGCACAGCUUUGCACAAUAGGGGUGCAGCUCAGACCCAUUGUGACAGAUCAGGUCCCAAGAACCCUCUGGCAUGCAGAAAUUAAUAUCCCAGCCUGCCACCCACGUCCAUCUGCCAUCACAGCAUCCCUCAAUCCAUCUCCAUGUCCAUCUUGGAGAAAUCACGUUGGUAAAUGACCUCCUUUAACACCAGAGGUCAUAAACUUAUUAUGGAAUAUUCUAGAUACAAUACAAAUUAAACUCAAUUGA